rnacentral:rRNA from 1 species
GAGUUUGAUCUUGGCUCAGAUUGAACGCUGGCGGCAUGCCUUACACAUGCAAGUCGAACGGUAACAGGUCUUCGGAUGCUGACGAGUGGCGAACGGGUGAGUAAUACAUCGGAACGUGCCCCGAUCGUGGGGGAUAACGAAGCGAAAGCUUUGCUAAUAACCGCAUAAGAUCUACGGAUGAAAGCAGGGACCGCAAGGCCUUGCGCGAACGGAGCGGCCGAUGGCAGAUUAGGUAGUUGGUGGGAUAAAAGACUUACCAAGCCGACGAUCUGUAGCUGGUCUGAGAGGACGACCAGCCACACUGGGACUGAGACACGGCCCAGACUCCUACGGGAGGCAGCAGUGGGGAAUUUUGGACAAUGGGCGAAA